rnacentral:rRNA from 1 species
AACGAACGCUGGCGGCAUGCCUAACACAUGCAAGUCGAACGAGACCUUCGGGUCUAGUGGCGCACGGGUGCGUAACGCGUGGGAACCUGCCCUUAGGUUCGGAAUAACUCCCCGACAGGGGUGCUAAUACCGGAUAAUGUCUUCGGUCCAAAGAUUUAUCGCCUUUGGAUGGGCCCGCGUUGGAUUAGCUAGUUGGUAGGGUAAAAGCCUACCAAGGCGACGAUCCAUAGCUGGUCUGAGAGGAUGAUCAGCCACACUGGGACUGAGACACGGCCCAGACUCCUACGGGAGGCAGCAGUGGGGAAUAGUGGACAAUGGGCGAAAGCCUGAUCCAGCAAUGCCGCGUGAGUGAUGAAGGCCUUAGGGUUGUAAAGCUCUUUUACCCGGGAUGAUAAUGACAGUACCGGGAGAAUAAGCUCCGGCUAACUCCGUG